CAUUGAGGUAAAUUCGUCCUCUCCUGCGGUAGCCAUCUUGACGAUCUGACGAACGAGGCGACUAACCUAAAGAAAUCAGCGAGUAUCGGAGGAAUCCAAGUAUUUUUUUAAUCUUAGUGGCGAUAAUCGAAAUCUCUGCACGUCACUAGAACCCAGAUCAGAGCGAGAUUCAUGGCCUCGCUUUGCACCGCCGCCGCCUCUGCCCGCCCUUGGCGGCGGCAACAGGUGGAAGGAAGGCAGAGGCUGAGGUAGGAGUGAAGUGGGAGGUUUCUAAGGAAGCCAGCGUACCACAUCAUGACAGCGCUGUACUGUGGCCUGGACAACACUCUUAAUGACAAUGAGGGCUUAACGUAAUCCCCUCUCCCAGCAUUCCUACCACCUGAAGUGACAUAGCCCAGUCCGGCCGCCCCUGCCCGUCCUCCUGGAAGGUAGCGCGCCCCUGGAACACGUCUGAGGGCCUCCUGCUCCCCUCCUCACGCACUGAAGGAUCCGAAAACCUCCGGGAGUCCACGCUGCAGGUGAAAAGAGGCUGUGACGAGACUGGUGUUGUGGACUGACUCAAGUGAUUAGAGGCCACACUUGUGAAGAGAAUACCACUGGCCACAUAACGAGUCCACGCCGCCCCUUCAUCCCCCACUACAUCUCUCAGCGGCUCUCCUGACCAUCCCAGACUCAGCCUGCAGAGCUUAACUUGAGCCUAAACCCGAGCCAACUCCUAAGGUGACUCGAGCUUCAAUCUGCCCAGCUGGGAGAGACGAGACGACGACGACAAAGCAAGGUGUGCAGGUGAGGUGUGCUGGCUCAGGUGAGGAAUCCACCUUUGCGUCGCAGGUGUGAUGGGGACCCGCGCUCAGGUGUGGAGGGCGGCAGACUCGGUCAAGCUUAAGUCUGGCACCAAACCAUCACGUCUUUUUAAGUGUGCGUCAUGUCAGGACUGAUGCAAUGCGGCGUGGUCGUUAGUGAUGGUCGGCAUGGCUCUCUCAUCACCAGUAUCAGCAGUGGGCGUGAUGGGCGGCGUCCCUCCUCCCCACCCCAGGGGUCAGGGGCCGCCAUGUUGUCCCCAUUAACACACUCCCUCCGCCCUGCAGCCCACGUUACUCAUUUAUCGACCGUCACUCAAAGGGCGGCGUGACAGCUGCGUUGGCCGCGGGUGAGUUGUUGUGGCACUGAGCCUCGUGCCAGCCGGUGAGUGCCAGUCGCUGCCAGGCACUGUUCAUACUUCAUACCAUGCUGGGGUCGCUCUCAUGCGUUCUAAUGUUUGUCCGCUGCUUCCUGUUUGCUAUUUCCUGUUUACUGUUUCCUGUCCUGUCCGUGGCUUGGUUUGUGUGUGUGUGUGUGUGUGUGUGUGUGUGUGUGUGUGUGUGUGUGUGUGUGUGUGUGUGUGUGUGUGUGUGUGUG